rnacentral:SRP_RNA from 1 species
GCCGGGCGCGGUGGCGUGCGCCUGUAAUCCAAGCUACUGGGAGGCUGAGGCUGGUGGACCACUUGAGCUCAGGGGUUCUGGGCUGCAGCGGACUAUGGCGAUCGGGUGUCCUCGCUAAGUUCGGUAUUGAUAUGGUGCUCCUGGGGGAGCCCGGGACCACCAGGUCGUCUAAGGAGGGGUGAACCGACCCAGGUCGGCAACGGAGCAGGUCAAAGCCCCCGUGCCGCUCAGUAGCGGGAUCGCGCCCGUGAAUAGACACUGUAGUACAGCCUGAGCAAUAUGGUGGAACCUUGUCCUUU